CCUACGGGUGGCAGCAGUGGGGAAUAUUGGUCAAUGGCCGGAAGGCUGAACCAGCCAAGCCGCGUGAAGGAAGAAGGUGCCAAGCAUUGUAAACUUCUUUUGUCAAGGGACAAAAUCAGGCUCGAGAGCCUGAACGAGGGUACUUGAAGAAAAAGCAUCGGCUAACUCCGUGCCAGCAGCCGCGGUAAUACGGAGGAUGCGAGCGUUAUCCGGAUUUAUUGGGUUUAAAGGGUGCGUAGGCGGACUUUUAAGUCAGCGGUAAAAGCCCGGGGCUCAACCCAGGCGAGCCGUUGAAACUGGGUGUCUUGAGUGGGCGAGAGGUAUGCGGAAUUCGCAGUGUAGCGGUGAAAUGCUUAGAUAUGGCGCAGAACUCCGAUUGCGAAGGCAGCAUACCGUCGGCGUUCUGACGCUGAGGCACGAAGGCGUGGGUAUCGAACAGGAUUAGAUACCCUGGUAGUC
rnacentral:rRNA from 1 species